UCCAGAUGUCCGACCAUGUCUUCGUGGAGACUAUAUAUAUAUAAAAAAACGCAAAAGCAAUUAAGCAAAAAUAUACCUAUAUAUUUACAACUCUAGGAAAUGAUUUUAACAUGAAAGUAUACGAGGAAUAUUGAGCCAGGGCAUCAUGCCAAGAAUGGUAACAGUGCAGCAUGAUUUCAAGGCAACAUUCUUGAGAGUCCAUUCAAGAGGUUCAAUGGAGAAUUCUUUUAAUGCAUCCAUAACUAUAAGCACAUGUUUAGGAACAUCUGAUGACCCCAUGAGUGUCAGUUGAAAGUUGAAAUGAGAACGGAAGGGAUUUGCUCAAGGGCUUUCAGAUAGUUAUAUAGAAGUUUUCAGGAGCUGAAGAAGAGGAAGAAUGAAACAGGAAUAUAAUUUGUUCGAUGUUAACAAGAAAUGCUUUAUAAAACCUAUGAUGUAAAAGAACAUCAUGCAAAGAAGCCAAAUAAGUUGCCUGGUUUGAGGUGAUCUCCUUUCUCUUUGUUUAUUGGAGAUUCUUGGAUCCCAACUCUUUCUUACGACAAGCUCAAAAAUAACUCUGAACUAAGCACGUAUUUUACUCCUAAAACAAAUCUAACACAUAGGAAAGCUCCAUUGGUUUUCUGCAUUCUAAA